rnacentral:rRNA from 1 species
AUUCCAGCUCCAAUAGCGUAUAUUAAAGUUGUUGCGGUUAAAAAGCUCGUAGUUGGAUUUCUGUUGAGGACGGCCGGUCCGCACUAUGUGCGUGUAUCUGGUUCGGCCUUGGCAUCCUCUUGAGGAACGUAUCUGCGCUCGAUUGCGUGGAGCGGUAUUCAAGACUUUUACUUUGAGGAAAUUAGAGUGUUCACGGCAGGCAAGCGCCUUGAAUACGUUAGCAUGGAAUGAUAAUAUAGGAUCUUGGUUCUAUUUUGUUGGUUUCUAGAGCUAAGGUAAUGAUUAAUAGGGAUAAUUGGGGGCAUUUGUAUUAACGCGUCAGAGGUGGAAUUCUUGGAUUGCGUUACGACAAACUACUGCGAAAGCAUUUGCCAAGGAUGUUUUCAUUG